AACGAACGCUGGCGGCAGGCCUAACACAUGCAAGUCGAGCGAACCCUUCGGGGUUGGCGGCGGACGGGUUAGUAACGCGUGGGAAUAUGCCCAAAGGUACGGAAUAGCCUCGGGAAACUGAGAGUAAUACCGUAUGUGCCCUUCGGGGGAAAGAUUUAUCGCCUUUGGAUUAGCCCGCGUUGGAUUAGGUAGUUGGUGGGGUAAUGGCCUACCAAGCCGACGAUCCAUAGCUGGUUUGAGAGGACGAUCAGCAACACUGGGACUGAGACACGGCCCAGACUCCUACGGGAGGCAGCAGUGGGGAAUCUUAGACAAUGGGGGAAACCCUGAUCUAGCCAUGCCGCGUGGACGAUGAAGGCCUUAGGGUUGUAAAGUCCUUUCAGCUGGGAAGAUAAUGACGGUACCAGCAGAAGAAGCCCCGGCUAACUCCGUGCCAGCAGCCGCGGUAACAC
rnacentral:rRNA from 1 species